AUAUGAUCUCUACUUAUAUAUCGUCAUAAUAUGGAUGACAGUUUCUAGCCAGUGCCGUAAAUGCUGGACUAUAAGUAAAAGAGUG
rnacentral:ncRNA from 1 species